rnacentral:rRNA from 1 species
GGUUAAGCGACUAAGCGUACACGGUGGAUGCCCUGGCAGUCAGAGGCGAUGAAGGGCGUGCUAAUCUGCGAUAAGCGCCGGUAAGGUGAUAUGAACCGUUAUAACCGGCGAUACCCGAAUGGGGAAACCCAGUGUGACUCGUCACACUAUCAUUAACUGAAUCCAUAGGUUAAUGAGGCGAACCGGGGGAACUGAAACAUCUAAGUACCCCGAGGAAAAGAAAUCAACCGAGAUUCCCCCAGUAGCGGCGAGCGAACGGGGAGUAGCCCAGAGCCUGAAUCAGCAUGUGUGUUAGUGGAAGCGUCUGGAAAGGCGCGCGAUACAGGGUGACAGCCCCGUACACAAAAGCGCAUGUGCUGUGAGCUCGAUGAGUAGGGCGGGACACGUGGUAUCCUGUCUGAAUAUGGGGGGACCAUCCUCCAAGGCUAAAUACUCCUGACUGACCGAUAGUGAACCAGUACCGUGAGGGAAAGGCGAAAAGAACCCCGGCGAGGGGAGUGAAAAAGAACCUGAAACCGUGUACGUACAAGCAGUGGGAGCACAGGUUUACCUGUGUGACUGCGUACCUUUUGUAUAAUGGGUCAGCGACUUAUAUUCUGUAGCAAGGUUAACCGUAUAGGGGAGCCGUAGGGAAACCGAGUCUUAACCGGGCGUUAAGUUGCAGGGUAUAGACCCGAAACCCGGUGAUCUAGCCAUGGGCAGGUUGAAGGUUGGGUAACACUAACUGGAGGACCGAACCGACUAAUGUUGAAAAAUUAGCGGAUGACCUGUGGCUGGGGGUGAAAGGCCAAUCAAACCGGGAGAUAGCUGGUUCUCCCCGAAAGCUAUUUAGGUAGCGCCUCGUGAAUUCAUCUCCGGGGGUAGAGCACUGUUUCGGCUAGGGGGCCAUCCCGGCUUACCAACCCGAUGCAAACUGCGAAUACCGGAGAAUGUUAUCACGGGAGACACACGGCGGGUGCUAACGUCCGUCGUGAAGAGGGAAACAACCCAGACCGCCAGCUAAGGUCCCAAAGUCAUGGUUAAGUGGGAAACGAUGUGGGAAGGCCCAGACAGCCAGGAUGUUGGCUUAGAAGCAGCCAUCAUUUAAAGAAAGCGUAAUAGCUCACUGGUCGAGUCGGCCUGCGCGGAAGAUGUAACGGGGCUAAACCAUGCACCGAAGCUGCGGCAGCGACGCUGAUGCGUUGUUGGGUAGGGGAGCGUUCUGUAAGCCUGCGAAGGUGGCCUGUGAGGGUUGCUGGAGGUAUCAGAAGUGCGAAUGCUGACAUAAGUAACGAUAAAGCGGGUGAAAAGCCCGCUCGCCGGAAGACCAAGGGUUCCUGUCCAACGUUAAUCGGGGCAGGGUGAGUCGACCCCUAAGGCGAGGCCGAAAGGCGUAGUCGAUGGGAAACGGGUUAAUAUUCCCGUACUUGGUGUUACUGCGAAGGGGGGACGGAGAAGGCUAUGUUGGCCGGGCGACGGUUGUCCCGGUUUAAGCGUGUAGGUGUGUGUUCCAGGUAAAUCCGGUUCACUUUAACACUGAGGCGUGAUGACGAGGCACUACGGUGCUGAAGCAACAAAUGCCCUGCUUCCAGGAAAAGCCUCUAAGCAUCAGGUAACAUCAAAUCGUACCCCAAACCGACACAGGUGGUCAGGUAGAGAAUACCAAGGCGCUUGAGAGAACUCGGGUGAAGGAAACUAGGCAAAAUGGUGCCGUAACUUCGGGAGAAGGCACGCUGACACGUAGGUGAAGUGAUUUACUCAUGGAGCUGAAGUCAGUCGAAGAUACCAGCUGGCUGCAACUGUUUAUUAAAAACACAGCACUGUGCAAACACGAAAGUGGACGUAUACGGUGUGACGCCUGCCCGGUGCCGGAAGGUUAAUUGAUGGGGUCAGCGCAAGCGAAGCUCCUGAUCGAAGCCCCGGUAAACGGCGGCCGUAACUAUAACGGUCCUAAGGUAGCGAAAUUCCUUGUCGGGUAAGUUCCGACCUGCACGAAUGGCGUAAUGAUGGCCAGGCUGUCUCCACCCGAGACUCAGUGAAAUUGAACUCGCUGUGAAGAUGCAGUGUACCCGCGGCAAGACGGAAAGACCCCGUGAACCUUUACUAUAGCUUGACACUGAACAUUGAGCCUUGAUGUGUAGGAUAGGUGGGAGGCUUUGAAGUGUGGACGCCAGUCUGCAUGGAGCCGACCUUGAAAUACCACCCUUUAAUGUUUGAUGUUCUAACGUGGACCCGUGAUCCGGGUUGCGGACAGUGUCUGGUGGGUAGUUUGACUGGGGCGGUCUCCUCCUAAAGAGUAACGGAGGAGCACGAAGGUUGGCUAAUCCUGGUCGGACAUCAGGAGGUUAGUGCAAUGGCAUAAGCCAGCUUGACUGCGAGCGUGACGGCGCGAGCAGGUGCGAAAGCAGGUCAUAGUGAUCCGGUGGUUCUGAAUGGAAGGGCCAUCGCUCAACGGAUAAAAGGUACUCCGGGGAUAACAGGCUGAUACCGCCCAAGAGUUCAUAUCGACGGCGGUGUUUGGCACCUCGAUGUCGGCUCAUCACAUCCUGGGGCUGAAGUAGGUCCCAAGGGUAUGGCUGUUCGCCAUUUAAAGUGGUACGCGAGCUGGGUUUAGAACGUCGUGAGACAGUUCGGUCCCUAUCUGCCGUGGGCGCUGGAGAACUGAGGGGGGCUGCUCCUAGUACGAGAGGACCGGAGUGGACGCAUCACUGGUGUUCGGGUUGUCAUGCCAAUGGCACUGCCCGGUAGCUAAAUGCGGAAGAGAUAAGUGCUGAAAGCAUCUAAGCACGAAACUUGCCCCGAGAUGAGUUCUCCCUGAGACUUAAAGUCUCCUGAAGGAACGUUGAAGACGACGACGUUGAUAGGCCGGGUGUGUAAGCGCAGCGAUGCGUUGAGCUAACCGGUACUAAUGAACCGUGAGGCUUAACCUU